GAUGAACGAUGGCGGCGUGCCUAAUACAUGCAAGUCGAGCGAAGCGGGGACGGGGGAGUAAAACGUGGAUAACCUCCUAUAAGACUGGGAUAACUUCGGGAAACCGGAGCUAAACCGGAUACGUAUCGAUGGAUCCGCUCUGCAUUGGCUAGUUUGUAAGGUAACGGCUUACCAAGGCAACGAUGCAUAGCCGAUCUGAGAGGGUGACCGGCCACACUGGAACUGAGACACGGUCCAGACUCCGACGGGAGGCAGCAGUAGGGAAUCUUCCGCAAUGGGCGAAAGCCUGACGGAGGAACGCCGCGUGAGUGAUGAAGGUCUUCGGUUCGUAAAACUCUGUUAUUAGGGUAGCGGUACCUGAUCAGAAAGCCACGGCUAACUACGUGCCAGCAGCCGCGGUAAUUC
rnacentral:rRNA from 1 species